rnacentral:lncRNA from 1 species
UUUUUUCGUCAUAGUCGUUGUCAUCAUCGUCCUUGUUGUUCUUGUUGUCCUCGUCGUUGUUGUUGUUGUUGUUGUUGUUGUUGUUGUUGUUGUUGUUGUUGUUGUCGUUGCGUUGUUGUUGUCGUUGUUGUUGUCGUUGUUGUUGUUGUUGUUGUUGUUGUUGUUGUUGUGGUUGUUGUUGUUCCUCUUGUUGUUGUUGUUGUUGUCCUUAUUCUCGUUGUUGUCGAUGUCGUUGUUGUUUUUGUUUUUGUCGUUGUUGUCGUUGUUCUCUUGAUUGUCGUUGUGAUCGUCGUU